rnacentral:rRNA from 1 species
UACGAAGGGGGCUAGCGUUGCUCGGAAUGACUGGGCGUAAAGGGCACGUAGGCGGUGAAUCGGGUUGAAAGUGAAAGUCGCCAAAAACUGGGGGAAGACUCUCGAAACCAAUUCACUUGAGUGAGACAGAGGAGAGUGGAAUUUCGUGUGUAGGGGUGAAAUCCGGAGAUCUACGAAGGAACGCCAAAGGCGAAGGCAGCUCUCUGGGUCACUACCGACGCUGGAGUGCGAAAGCGUGGGGAGCGAACGGG